CAUAACAAGGAAGUUUAUAAUAUUCUUUUUCUGAAAAAAUGAAACAGAAAGUAGGCUAAUAGAUCUGAUGUGCAUUAACAUCACUUUGUUGACGAACUAAAUUGCUAACCAGUAACGUGGUAAGCUGUGAAGCCUGACAACUGAACUGAAAAGCUAGAAGGUAGCCACUAAAACUUUAUUUGGAAAACCUUUCGUGAGAGACGUCAGCCUACUUUUUAAUUUCUACGUUAAGCUACAGCGUCAGAUUUACAGAAAUGACAGGGGAAACUAAUGGUGCGCCAGAGGGCAGAUCCUACCGGGAUGCAGUGGUGGCUCACAUGCCGCCUCUGCCCGCAGGAGCACCACCUGAAAACGUACAGCGGUCUAAACUGAAAGCUCGCCUGAGGAAUUUGUUGAGCAGACAUCCGGAUGGCAUGCUUCUGGCCCAGCUGAGACGGUCCUGCCCGAUCCUGUUCCAACCAGAGGUCCUGGGUUCCUAUGUCUCCACCACAGAGAUCUUGCACUCGAUGGGGGAUGUGCUACAGAUACGCGGCGUUGGAGUACAGCGCCGCGUCUAUCCUUCUUGCAGGAAAGUGGACGAGACCGAAUAGACGAUAGGCAUGAUCAAUUGGACUAAUUGCACCAACAUUUUUUAAAUCAUUCUGCCUAGGAAGAAAAAGAAUUGGGUUACCUGGCCUGGCCUGGCCUAAACAUAUGCAGUGACCAAAUAACUGGCACAGAUGUGUUAGGAUAGAUGUAGGUUUUGGCUAGGCCUACAACACCUCAGAUAUCAUGUUGAUGAUAUAACUUUACCAAAGCAUUAAAAUAAGUAAUUGUAAGAAUUCAACAUGUGGGCUCACUAGCAUAAGAGUGACUGUGAAAACAUUCCAAAUGUAAGCUCUCAAUGUAGGCUAUACAAAUAAUUAUGCACUUUUUCAACUUUCUAUGGUGUUUUUCUACAUGCAGUUAUCCUUAAUUUGGAGAAACAGAUUUGUAUCAGUAAUGCACUUUAAUAUUGUAUUUGCAUUUUGUGUUGUCAUAUAUUUAAUCUAUAUUUUUAAAUAAGACAUUUGAUAUUUUGUUACCAAUUGGCAAGGAAUAAUAAAUGAAGGAAAAA